GUCCUAAGCUGAGGCCGACAGGCGUAGGCGAUGGAUAACAGGUUGAUAUUCCUGUACCACCUAUAAUCGUUUUAAUCGAUGGGGGGACGCAGUAGGAUAGGCGAAGCGUGCGAUUGGAUUGCACGUCUAAGCAGUAAGGCUGAGUAUUAGGCAAAUCCGGUACUCGUUAAGGCUGAGCUGUGAUGGGGAGAAGACAUUGAGUCUUCGAGUCGUUGAUUUCACACUGCCGAGAAAAGCCUCUAGAUAGAAAAUAGGUGCCCGUACCGCAAACCGACACAGGUAGUCAAGAUGAGAAUUCUAAGGUGAGCGAGCGAACUCUCGUUAAGGAACUCGGCAAAAUGACCCCGUAACUUCGGGAGAAGGGGUGCUCUUUAGGGUUAACGCCCAGAAGAGCCGCAGUGAAUAGGCCCAAGCGACUGUUUAUCAAAAACACAGGUCUCUGCUAAACCGUAAGGUGAUGUAUAGGGGCUGACGCCUGCCCGGUGCUGGAAGGUUAAGAGGAGUGGUUAGCUUCUGCGAAGCUACGAAUCGAAGCCCCAGUAAACGGCGGCCGUAACUAUAACGGUCCUAAGGUAGCGAAAUUCCUUGUCGGGUAAGUUCCGACCCGCACGAAAGGCGUAACGAUUUGGGCACUGUCUCAACGAGAGACUCGGUGAAAUCAUAGUACCUGUGAAGAUGCAGGUUACCCGCGACAGGACGGAAAGACCCCGUGGAGCUUUACUGUAGCCUGAUAUUGAAAUUCGGCACAGCUUGUACAGGAUAGGUAGGAGCCUUUGAAACGUGAGCGCUAGCUUACGUGGAGGCGCUGGUGGGAUACUACCCUAGCUGUGUUGGCUUUCUAACCCGCACCACUUAUCGUGGUGGGAGACAGUGUCAGGCGGGCAGUUUGACUGGGGCGGUCGCCUCCUAAAAGGUAACGGAGGCGCUCAAAGGUUCCCUCAGAAUGGUUGGAAAUCAUUCAUAGAGUGUAAAGGCAUAAGGGAGCUUGACUGCGAGACCUACAAGUCGAGCAGGGUCGAAAGACGGACUUAGUGAUCCGGUGGUUCCGCAUGGAAGGGCCAUCGCUCAACGGAUAAAAGCUACCCCGGGGAUAACAGGCUUAUCUCCCCCAAGAGUUCACAUCGACGGGGAGGUUUGGCACCUCGAUGUCGGCUCAUCGCAUCCUGGGGCUGUAGUCGGUCCCAAGGGUUGGGCUGUUCGCCCAUUAAAGCGGUACGCGAGCUGGGUUCAGAACGUCGUGAGACAGUUCGGUCCCUAUCCGUCGUGGGCGUAGGAAAUUUGAGAGGAGCUGUCCUUAGUACGAGAGGACCGGGAUGGACAUACCUCUGGUGUACCAGUUGUCGUGCCAACGGCAUAGCUGGGUAGCUAUGUGUGGACGGGAUAAGUGCUGAAAGCAUCUAAGCAUGAAGCCCCCCUCAAGAUGAGAUUUCCCAACUUCGGUUAUAAGAUCCCUCAAAGAUGAUGAGGUUAAUAGGUUCGAGGUGGAAGCAUGGUGACAUGUGGAGCUGACGAAUACUAAUCGAUCGAAGACUUAAUCAA
rnacentral:rRNA from 26 species